GGCAUAUUGUGACACUAUGCGCGUUUCACCAUCCCACGUUCCUGUCAGCGCUUCCAUUUCUACUAACUUACUUGCAGAUGGAGCCUCUAAUAUUGCUUCAAUCGAUGUUUUUACCUAUACAGGAUGGAAGUCACAAAGAAGUCCUAGGACAAGAGAAUGAAUUUUCUCAAGUAGCUCGUGUAUCCGACAUUACUAUUAUUUUACAUACUUGUAUACAAUAUGUAUAUAAAUAACAUUUAAACAGC